CAAAAUGAGAAAGACCUGUUAUCGGUUCGCGAGAUUACAAACUUCGUCUCUCACACACAAAGCACAUUAAAUCCUAGGAAUCAUAAAAAUGGAAAUCAAUAUUCACAUUCGUUACCAAUUUUCAACGAAUGUUAGUCUAUCUGUGUAGGAAUCUUAUACAAUUUCUCAAAAAAUUGGGGGUAGAGGGCAAUGUAUCCUAAGUAUCAAGUUCAAUCUACACAGAACUGAGGGUUUAUAAUCGGCUAAGUAAUUAGUACAUGCAAUCGUUGUAGUAGAGGAAAACAUGACUGAAGAAUGCAAUGACUCUAUAGUAUCAGCACAACAGCAAGGUAUCAGAGGAAACGACUUAGUAAAAGAAUCAGGAUCAAUUAAGGUGCUUUUGAAAAUACGUGCAAAGUUUCCUCAACAUAUCACUACAAAUACAGUUGUGGUUUAGAUGUCAGUGCCAACAUACACAUCCAGGAGCUGAUGAUACCGAGUAUUGACCGCAUGGAAUGGGCGGGAAAAGCAGAUUUAAUAGAAGUGUGGUAAUGACACGUGGCAAGAAGAUGGUGUAAAAUGGUGACAUGUGGUGUUUAAAGGAGGUUUUUAUUAAGUUUGGAGAUUUUGACGAUGACCAAAUCUAACAAAUUAUACAAAUUCAGUCUCUGCUAAUUUUUUCCGACGAACAUGGUCCCUGUGUUUUCCAAAACUUGUAUGAAUGACCUUUUUUGCUGACGUCGUUAUUGUUCAUCCGUUACUGUAAAUGUAUUUUUGGUAUUUUCAAGUAAUAGAGACUAAUGUAUUUUGGUAUUUUCAAGUAACAGAGACUAAGUUUGUGACUAUAAA